rnacentral:rRNA from 1 species
GUGGGGAAUUUUGGACAAUGGGGGCAACCCUGAUCCAGCAAUGCCGCGUGCAGGAAGAAGGCCUUCGGGUUGUAAACUGCUUUUGUACGGAACGAAAAGGCUCUGGUUAAUACCUGGGGCACAUGACGGUACCGUAAGAAUAAGCACCGGCUAACUACGUGCCAGCAGCCGCGGUAAUACGUAGGGUGCAAGCGUUAAUCGGAAUUACUGGGCGUAAAGCGUGCGCAGGCGGUUGUGUAAGACAGGCGUGAAAUCCCCGGGCUCAACCUGGGAAUUGCGCUUGUGACUGCACGGCUGGAGUGCGGCAGAGGGGGAUGGAAUUCCGCGUGUAGCAGUGAAAUGCGUAGAUAUGCGGAGGAACACCGAUGGCGAAGGCAAUCCCCUGGGCCUGCACUGACGCUCAUGCACGAAAGCGUGGGGAGCAAACAGGAUUAGAUACCCGGGUAGUCC